CGCGUAGGCGGACUAUUAAGUCAGAGGUGAAAUCCCAGGGCUCAACCCUGGAACUGCCUUUGAUACUGGUAGUCUUGAGUUCGAGAGAGGUGAGUGGAAUUCCGAGUGUAGAGGUGAAAUUCGUAGAUAUUCGGAGGAACACCAGUGGCGAAGGCGGCUCACUGGCUCGAUACUGACGCUGAGGUGCGAAAGUGUGGGGAGCAAACA
rnacentral:rRNA from 1 species